UACGAAGGGGGCUAGCGUUGCUCGGAAUUACUGGGCGUAAAGCGCACGUAGGCGGCUCUUUAAGUCGGGGGUGAAAUCCUGGAGCUCAACUCCAGAACUGCCUUCGAUACUGAAGAGCUCGAGUCCGGGAGAGGUGAGUGGAACUGCGAGUGUAGAGGUGAAAUUCGUAGAUAUUCGCAAGAACACCAGUGGCGAAGGCAGCUCGCUGGGACGGUACUGACGCUGAGGAGCGAAAGUGUGGGGAGCGAACAGG
rnacentral:rRNA from 1 species